UUUCCGUAGGUGAACCUGCGGAAGGAUCAUUAACAAUGUUGGCUGCUUGCAGCUUUCCAUACCUGUGCAUUUACUUUAUCUGGUGGGUGUUAUUGAUGUAGGGCAUUUGAUCUUCGGAUCAUCUGUUCAACAUCUUUAUGCAUCGCCCACCGUUUUUCUUCAAUACUGUCUGAAUGAGUUUUAACAUAAAAACUCCCAACAACGGAUCUCUUGGCUCUGGCAUCGAUGAAGAACGCAGC
rnacentral:misc_RNA from 1 species